GGAUGUGAGGGCGAUCUGGCUGUGACAUCUGUCACCCCAUUGAUCACCAGGGUUGAUUCGGCUGAUCUGGCUGGCUAGGCGGGUGUCCCCUUCCUCCCUCAACGAUCCAUGUGCGUCCCUCCCGAAGCUGCGCGCUCGGUCGAAGAGAACGACCACCCCCGAUAGAGGAGGACCGUUCCUCGGUCAAGGGUAUACGAGUAGCUGCGCUCCCCUGCUAGAACCUCCAAACAAGCUCUCAGGACAUCACACCCUGAGAGUUACUUUUACCAGUCCUCUCCCCGCGCCUGGUUCUUAGGCAUUUGGACUUGGAAUGAACUGCAACACUGGCUUUUUUGGUU
rnacentral:sRNA from 1 species